UUUUUUGGAAGAGCCUUCUCUACAAACUUUUCUGAAAAAGACAGUUUCAGACCACGUCACGGUGUCCUGAGUCGUAGCUGACUGAGCGCCCUUAUUUCCAAGUGGCCAGAACGGACGGAGGCAACCGUCGUGGGUGAGAAGUUCUUGUCAUUUGUGAUCCUUUAUUGUUAAUUCUCUUCGUGUAUUUGUCCUGCCGCUUUGUUUUGGUUGUCAGAGUUCGUUACUGAGACGAGAGUCCGGUCAUCCUGUUCCGACAGCUGCAGAUUGAGUUGGCAUGAAACACCAUGAGUUACCAGAUGGCUACAGGAAACAUGGACACAUUCUGUUCACGCAAUAGACUCCAUGACCCGAUUUCAUGAUGCCUGAGUAAGAGAGAGCAUUGUGCUUCUCCUUCAUCGUCCCACAAACUAAGCUGUGAAGAGAACGCUUAACGCUGCAAGCACCUCACAGCAGCAUAUAGAGACUUCCUCUGGGCUUUCCCAGUGAGCACAGCCUUACAGAGGAAAGUUACUGACCUCAAGGACCGAGGAGCUUGAGGACAGUAUUCUCUCACCAGUAUUAAGUAUUAGAUACAUGUAUUAAUGGAUUCAUCGUUUAAAUGAUUAGAAGAAAAUGGCCUGAAAUAUGUGAUGAUGGGGCAGAGACUGCAUCGAUAGAAAAACUUAUUUUUCCCUUAAAAUCUGACUACGAAAAUUAAAUAGACUUUUAAGAAUUUAUAAUGUGUUUUGCAAAAGAAAAAAAAUGUCUCGAUUGACUUUAAAAAACAUGAUAACGUUGCCUUCGGGCUCCCUUAAGACUUAAAAUUCUGUUGAG